rnacentral:rRNA from 1 species
AGAGUUUGAUCCUGGCUCAGGAUGAACGCUGGCGGCGUGCCUAACACAUGCAAGUCGAGCGGUAAAUAUUGGAACGAAAUUUCGAUCGAGUGAAGAUAUUGAGAGCGGCGGACGGGUGAGUAACGCGUAGGCAACCUGCCCCAUACAGAGGGAUAGCCUCGGGAAACCGGGAUUAAAACCUCAUAACGCCAGAAGUUCACAUGGACUUUUGGCCAAAGAUUUAUCGGUAUGGGAUGGGCCUGCGUCUGAUUAGCUAGUUGGUGGGGUAACGGCCUACCAAGGCAACGAUCAGUAGCCGACCUGAGAGGGUAAUCGGCCACAUUGGAACUGAGACACGGUCCAAACUCCUACGGGAGGCAGCAGUGGGGAAUAUUGCACAAUGGGCGAAAGCCUGAUGCAGCAACGCCGCGUGAGCGAUGAAGGCCUUUGGGUCGUAAAGCUCUGUCCUUGGGGAAGAAAAAAUGACGGUACCCUUGGAGGAAGCCCCGGCUAACUACGUGCCAGCAGCCGCGGUAAUACGUAGGGGGCAAGCGUUAUCCGGAAUUAUUGGGCGUAAAGAGUGCGUAGGUGGUUUUAUAAGCGUGAGGUGAAAGGCAAUGGCUCAACUAUUGUAAGCCUUGUGAACUGUAAGACUUGAGUGCAGGAGAGGAAAGUGGAAUUCCUAGUGUAGCGGUGAAAUGCGUAGAUAUUAGGAGGAACACCAGUGGCGAAGGCGACUUUCUGGACUGUAACUGACACUGAGGCACGAAAGCGUGGGGAGCAAACAGGAUUAGAUACCCUGGUAGUCCACGCCGUAAACGAUGAGCACUAGGUGUCGGGGCCGCAAGGUUUCGGUGCCGCAGUUAACGCAUUAAGUGCUCCGCCUGGGGAGUACGCACGCAAGUGUGAAACUCAAAGGAAUUGACGGGGACCCGCACAAGCAGCGGAGCAUGUGGUUUAAUUCGAAGCAACGCGAAGAACCUUACCAGGACUUGACAUCCCUCUGACCGGCGCUUAACCGUGUUCCCUUCGGGGCAGGGGUGACAGGUGGUGCAUGGUUGUCGUCAGCUCGUGUCGUGAGAUGUUGGGUUAAGUCCCGCAACGAGCGCAACCCUUGUCUUUAGUUACCAUCAUUCAGUUGGGGACUCUAGAGAGACUGCCGGUGAUAAACCGGAGGAAGGUGGGGAUGACGUCAAAUCAUCAUGCCCCUUAUGGCCUUGGCUACACACGUACUACAAUGGCGUAUACAGAGAGACGCGAAGUGGCGACAUGGAGCAAACCUCACAAAGUACGUCUCAGUUCAGAUUGAAGUCUGCAACUCGACUUCAUGAAGGCGGAAUCGCUAGUAAUCGCGGAUCAGCAUGCCGCGGUGAAUACGUUCUCGGGCCUUGUACACACCGCCCGUCA